rnacentral:rRNA from 1 species
UACGUAGGCAGCGAGCGUUGUUCGGAGUUACUGGGCGUAAAGGGUGCGUAGGCGGUUUUCCAAGUUUGGUGUGAAAUCUCCCGGCUUAACUGGGAGGGUGCGCCGAAAACUAGGAGACUUGAGUACCGGAGAGGUAAGCGGAAUUCCUGGUGUAGCGGUGAAAUGCGUAGAGAUCGGAAAGAACACCAACGGCGAAAGCACUCUGCUGGGCCGACACUGACACUGAGAGACGAAAGCUAGGGGAGCGAAUGGG